rnacentral:rRNA from 1 species
UGGGGAAUAUUGCACAAUGGGCGAAAGCCUGAUGCAGCGACGCCGCGUGAGGGAUGACGGCCUUCGGGUUGUAAACCUCUUUCAGCAGGGAAGAAGCGAAAGUGACGGUACCUGCAGAAGAAGCGCCGGCUAACUACGUGCCAGCAGCCGCGGUAAUACGUAGGGCGCAAGCGUUGUCCGGAAUUAUUGGGCGUAAAGAGCUCGUAGGCGGUUAGUCGCGUCUGCUGUGAAAACUCGAGGCUCAACCUCGGGCUUGCAGUGGGUACGGGCUGACUAGAGUGCAGUAGGGGUGACUGGAAUUCCUGGUGUAGCGGUGGAAUGCGCAGAUAUCAGGAGGAACACCGAUGGCGAAGGCAGGUCACUGGGCCGCAACUGACGCUGAGGAGCGAAAGCAUGGGGAGCGAACAGGAUUAGAUAGCCCUGGUAGUCCAUGCCGUAAACGUUGGGCACUAGGUGUGGGUCCAUUCCACGGAUUCCGUGCCGCAGCAAAGCGCAUUAAGUGCCCCGCCUGGGGAGUACGGCCGCAAGGCUAAAACUUAAAUGAAUUGACGGGGUCAUAGCUGUUUCCU